rnacentral:tRNA from 1 species
ACUAUUUUGGCAGAUAAGUGUGUUGGAUUUAGAAUCUUUUUAUAUAGAUUAUUUUUCUAUAAAUAGUA